AGCGGGGGUGCUGCCACUUGGCGGCUGAGAACAUACCCUAUGAACCUGAUGCGGAUAAUGCCGAUGCAGGGAGACAUUU
rnacentral:ncRNA from 1 species